CCAAGCCAGUGAUGACAUGUUAUCCCUGUCUGAACUCCAGUGUGGAGUCAUGGUAAGCUGAUGCUUCA